GGGGCCGUGGCUGAGCGGUUGAUAGCGCCCGAAUCACACUCGGGUAGCGUGGAGGAUGCCCCCUCCAUGCUCGUGGGUUCGAAUCCCACCGGCCCCG
rnacentral:tRNA from 1 species